rnacentral:snRNA from 1 species
AUCGCUUCUCGGCCUUUUGGCUAAGAUCAAGUGUAGUAUCUUUUCCAGGAGCUUUGCCGGGAGAGCGUGUGAAAGCAUCGGCCAAGAUGGUUCGCGAUGAGGAAUAGUGUUCGUGUGGAAUUGAAGAUGGAUGCUGAGGACUUUGUGAAGCAACGUUUUGGAAGAGAAUUUUGUGUUGUGGAAAUUCUUCAAGGAGUUUUCAAGAUUCAGCCUGGUGAUAUUUUCUGCCUACAA